rnacentral:rRNA from 1 species
AUGUCCACAGGUCAUGAUGUUUUCAGCAACAGCACAUUCAGAAAUUGUCAAACUCUGUCUUACACCAUGAUUGAUACAUGGAGUAUUUCUUGUGGGAACCUAGGUAAACCAAACAAAUCAAUUAGAGAAGUGGUAAUUUGGGUGGAGCCUAAGCAGAAGAGGCAGAAGAUUUUUGAGAUAAUGAAGAGUAAGCAGUACUUCAAACCUCCUGCUGUUGUAUUUGUGAGAUGCCGAGUGGCAGUGGCGCGUGCGAGAGAAGCACGUUUUGGGGGAUAG